ensembl:lncRNA
CGGCCGAGCUCGACGCCGUCUCCAUGGCGACGACGGCGCUGCUGAGGAGGCAGCGGGCUCCAAAAACAACACGAGGGAGGUCCAAGGAAAUAGGCUGUAUCUCACUGCCUGCAAAGAGCAAGUCCGUGUGGAAGGCAUUUCUAAGCAUAAGAAGGAAAUGAAGAUCACAGCGUAUUGUACUUUUGAAGAGGAAACAGCAAACAACAAAAAUGUAGAAAUGUCUUUGUUCCUAUGCAAAAGUAGCUCUUGAAAAUACUGAAGGGAGCCAAAGCUCUAGAUAGCUUAUAUUUGCCCAUAACAUGUCUGCAGUGAGCAAUUGUAUCAAGAAGGUCAAAACUUCAAGAUUGUUCUACACAUCAAACAAAAUCAGUUCAGAGCUGUGAUGGUCUAUCAGAUAUACAGACAGCUACAAAUGAAGCUGUACAGACAAUUUCUGUCUUAUACUAUCAUCCAAGAGAAACAGACCUCAAAGUGUUCCCACAGGUCAACUAAGCUGCUGGAGGAGUGCACUGAAAUGCUGAUUCUGAACAUGGCUGCACAAUGAGAGUUCUUGGCAGACAGCACUGAGGCACUAGAACCUAAAGACAUACCCCAUGAUGUCGAUGUUUAUAUUUCAACUGAAGAGACCUUUUUAGAUCCAUUAAAAAAAAGGUAAAAAAACCCCAACAAAAACGAACAACCCAAACAAAAACAAAAUGAAGAAUCCCCAGCAAAUGGCUUAAGGGUUGCAAUUAAAAAUUAUUUUCAUUCUGUCUUUUUGCAUGGUUUAACAAAACUAAUGUUUACUCAUUUACAGCUCAGUAAGAGGAUAAUGUGCUUAAUGAAAGAAAAAUCUACUGACAGCCAUGUUUAUUGCCCUUCAUUAGCAUUGGUACUUAAUUUAAUAUAGAUCUGAAUAGACAUUAGGGAGCCUGCAGGAGGUUAAAUGGUGAAAAUGUAAAGAGAUUAUUGAAUUUACUGUUUAGUUUCAGUGACAUCAAACAGACAAAAUUAAUUAAGCUUAUUCCACUAGUAAAAAUAAUCCAGAAUGUAAGAUUGGAUUCAUUAAUGUUGUUGUUUAUAAUUUUUGAACAUUUAUUCCAGCAAUAUGGAAUAUCUGCUCUAUCAUGCUGUAUUAAUUUUACAUUUUUCAGAAGGACCAUUACUAACAAUAUUCUUUUCUCCUCAUUCCCUUAUAAGUCUGCUAAUUUUGUUGUUGUUCUUUUUUAAUAAGUGAAAAACUGUUUCUGAAUCAUUUACAUUUUAAACAUUAAUAAAUCUUGGUCAUGUUUUAAUAUCAUGAAGCCCAUUCUGAGAGUUCUGCAACAAAUUUGGGGCAACAUUUUAUAAAAUCAAGUAGAGUUUGGUAUCAGAUUGAAGAUAUCAACUGGGUAUUAUAUUAAAUGAUUAAUUCAACUGGCAUUUGUGUGAAAGAACCAUUAAUUAACAGAAGUUAAUGUAUUAUUAGAAACAAAACGUUUAUUUGUGUAGAGUAUAUAUAGAUCUAGUUGCAGUGAGAAAUGCAAAUGAGAAUAAUUGUCUAAAGUUAAAUGAAAGUGUUCAAUUUGUAUAAUCUUGUAAAAGUAGAGAUGUUUUUAAAAAUGUUAGGGGUAGCAGAGGAGAAAAUCAGAAGAGAAAUAAUUUAACUAGUGAGUAUAUGUUUUAUAUAAGUUCUCUACAUAUAAUCUUCACACUCUGGAGCACGUUUAUUUUCUUAUGUACUUUUUUUAGACACAAGUAUUUUGUUUUAUUUUUCUAUAUCACCUUUAAUUAAGCUUUUGUUAUCUUGAGUGUUAAAUCUUCCAUUCUGUAUUUGCAAAUACUGAGGUGAUCUUUAAAUCCUUUGCAGAUCGGUAUUAUUUAAUGCAGACAACAUUUCAGGAAGAUAUCUAUAUAGUACUCGUAGCUGACUAUUUGUCUAAGAAAAUGACUACUGUACAGUUCUUUGUAUAUACAUAAAAAUCUAAUAUUAAUUAGUAGCGCCUUUAUGAUCUAUGUCCUGUAAUUGAAGGGAUAUGUAAAUAUUCAUGGAGGUAUUCAGGGAUGAAACUUAUGUUAGUAAGCCUGUGUCCUACAUCAUCAAUUUUAUAUGUGAUAAAUUUUUUUGGUAACGUGAAAAUUAUUCUCAUACAGAUGACUCAUUUUCUAGAAUGACUAUAGUGAAUGGUCUAUAUAUUCAGACAUAGAUAUUUUUAUUUAUUCUUGAAAAAUGUAUGAUAGAACUGAUAUUUGCACUCUGACAUUGAAAUGAUAGUAUUAUUUCAGUAAUUUUGUAUGACUAUUGCUAUAAUUUGUUACAAAAUCUUCACUGGCCUGCAUAUAGAUGAACAUUAUGAUAUAUUUUCAAAUUUGUUCUUUAUUUUAUUUCUUUCAUUUUCCUCUCUCAAGCCAAGUUCAUAACAAAAACUUCUGUGCUUUGUCUGCUAUCUUUGGCUGUGUUUCACUGUAACAUGCACUGCUGUUCUUUUAGCACCAAAAUGUUGGCACAUGUUACUGAAAAUUUCACACCAUCUCUUGCUGGAUCAGCAAGCUUAACCUACCAAAAUCUGGUGUUGUUGAAUGGUUUUUGACUGAUAAUCAAUCUUUUUGCUGCUCGACAGUUGUUGCUGGGACACAGACUAGAGCAGGUGGCAGAUGUGCCUUGUCUUUUGAGAAAAGAAAGAGUAGGUGAGCUUGGGCACAAAGUAACAUAUUGCAUGUCCAUUAAAAGGGUAAGUAUAACAGGGAAAAGUCACUGCUGUAAGUAGAAAAACCACCAAUAUCAGAAAUAGGCCUUUUUAUACUCCCAUUUACAACUUCAAUAGAGCUGGAAAAUGUCACUAAUGUAGAAUUCCACAUGCUCAGAAAUCAGAACUGACAUUAAAAGUGUUACUUCUCUAAAAAACAUUCCAUAGUACUUUUUCUGGCUUGUAUUUUUUGUUAUUUAUACAUAGUAUGAGAGUAUGAGUCAAAAAUUUAUUUUAAAUUAGCUUCAGUAUAUUGAAGAUAGAUUUCAGAAAUGUAUAAAUAUAGAGAGGCAGACAGUGUGUACUUCAUUUUUUUUUUCUCUAGCGCAAGACUAGGAACAGAGAAUAAGGUAGUAUAACUUGUCAGUGUGAACGUACUGAUUGCUGCAUUAAAAUUCUUAAUGCAUAGACAACAAGUUCAAACUUCACCAGCAAAUCUGUUUUGCAUGAUAUACUUUAAUAUCCCAGCCCUGAAAAGUGAUCACGUGGAAAUUAGACUUUUUAAAUGUACAGUACAGUUACACAUAAAUAUUUGCAAAGUCAUCAUCAUUGUUGAAAUCUGUAUUUUAAAUAUUCAACCAGUCACAAAGUGUGUCAAAGGCAUAUCAUCUUACACAUACUUUAAUUGAUUCAAGAGAUAUAAAUACCUGGAAUAAUUAGAAUUCCCAGUUAUGGCUUUUUCCAGUUGAUUUGGAUUUAUUCACCUCCUCGCCCUUCUUACAUAUUAAAAUUCAAAUUGAAAAUGAAUAAGAAUAAAUAAAUAAAGAAACUGACUAGUUUUAUCAUCUGAGAUAAAAAUUGAAAGCUAUCACUUCUGUUGAUUUAUUUAAAUGUUUAUAAUAAAUACAACUGACAUAUCACUUAAAGUGUCAUUCCAAUUAGCUAAGAAAAAAGAACCAAGUCUCAAGCAUUUUUAACAUAUUUUGGAGAGAUUAUUUUAGAACUUGUAUGUUGCAGAACUGUGCCAAAGAGUUAAUGCCCUGUGGUAUGUUAUUAUUCCAUGUAAUUUACAUAUGAUGAACAUCUGUGUUUGCAUGUAAUUCUGGUUCAUUGGAAAUAUAUUGGAGUGCAUAUACAUGUGUGUUUGUUUGAAGGCGUUUGUAUUUAUAACAGUUUCUCAACUUAAAAAAUAUUAGAUAUUCUUAUUUAUUCUUUUCAAUACCUCUUGUUUCUUCUGUCAGCUUUUAUUUUAAAACACUUGCAUCUUUGCAAUUGAAUUUCAGGUGUCCAGUAUACUGCUCCAAUUUUUCUUCAUUAGUUAUGAAAUUAAAGUGAUAAUAAGUUCUUUCCAUUUAAUUUAAUUCUAGUAACAAUAGCAGCAUUGCAUAAGAAAAUAAUCAAUUAGCUAUUGCUCUUUCAUAAAAUGUUUGUGCAUUUUGUCACUAUUGCAAAAAAUAUGGCCACGUGUAAGUUUACAUUCAGUAUUUUUUUCGGUUUAUGUGUUUACCUUGAACAUGCUUGGGAAUUACUAAAUUGGAAAUAAAGGAGUUUUGAAUGACCAAUUGAUUGUGGACUUGGACAGCAGUCCAAAACCACUUAUACUCAGAUCUAAUUCACUGUACCACUGAGAGUGAUUUCUGUAGGAGCCUUCAGAGAAGUUAAGCAUUUGUAUUUUUAUAUGACUAUACUGACUAGACAUACAACUCACCUGUCGGUAGUCUUGUUGUAUACAAUAUCUAAUUUAGCUGCACUGAUCUUAAGCUGAAUCACUUUCUACAGACAGCAUUUUGGCCAAAGUAUUUUUGUUGAUGUGCCAUGCUCAUAUAUUUUUUCUAAGUCAUAGUGACAAGGCUUCUUUGCUGAAGCAUAGUCCACUUUGCAGAUCAUAUAAGUCACUUCAUCUAAUUAAUCCAUUUUAUUACUAGGGUGUAGGGAACUGUUUAUGACCUCCAGAUUUUAUGCUGUGGAUGACUGAAUUAAAGGAAGUUUUUUGUGUUCUGUGUUUUUUUUAUUACACAGAUUGCUAUGUUACUUUAGUGGCUGGAUUAAAAGAUACUGUGUCCUGUUCUGUUCCUUUAAGGGUGUUGACAAGUAUGCAUUUAUAGCAUUUUUGGUACAAAUAUAGCAAACUGCAAGUAUCAUUCUAGUCAAGACAUUUACCAUAACAGUACAUUUUAUUUUAAUGAAUGAGAUUUUCUUGUCUCAAAAUAAAUUCACCGUUUUACAGUUUUAAAAAUAAUGUUUUGAAUAUGUU